rnacentral:rRNA from 1 species
UACGUAGGGUGCAAGCGUUAAUCGGAAUUACUGGGCGUAAAGCGUGCGCAGGCGGUUAUGCAAGACAGAUGUGAAAUCCCCGGGCUCAACCUGGGAACUGCAUUUGUGACUGCAUGGCUAGAGUACGGUAGAGGGGGAUGGAAUUCCGCGUGUAGCAGUGAAAUGCGUAGAUAUGCGGAGGAACACCGAUGGCGAAGGCGGGAUCCUGGGCCAGUACUGACGCUGAGGAGCGAAAGCGUGGGGAGCAAACAGG